CCUGCCAGUUGUCAUAUGCUUGUUUUAAAGAUUAAGCCAUGCAUGUCUAAGUAUAAGCAAAAAUACAGCAAAACUGCAAAUGGCUCAUUAAAACAGUUAUUGUUUACUUGAUAAUAAUUUUUACAUGGAUAACCGUGGUAAUUCUACAGCUAAUACAUGAGCAAAAUCUCAACUUUAUUAAAAGAGACGCAUUUAUUAGAUAAAAAGCCAGUUCAUGCUUUUACAGUAUGAAAAUUGGUGAUUUAUAAUAACUUAGCAAAUCGCAAAGUGAAAACAGGCGAUAAAUCAUUCAAGUUUCUGACCUAUCAGCUUUCGACGGUAUGGUAUUGGCUUACCGUGGCAGUGACGGUUAACGGGGGAUUAGGGUUCGAUUCCGGAGAGGGAGCCUGAGAAACGGCUACCACAUCUAAGGAAGGCAGCAGGGGCGCAAAUUACCCAAUUCUAACAGUUUGAGAGAGGUAGUAACAAGAAAUAACAAUACAAGGCAGUUAAAAUGCUUUGUAAUUGGAAUGAUAGAAAUUUAAACCCUUUUUAAAGUAUCAAUUGGAGGGCAAGUCUGGUGCCAGCAGCCGCGGUAAUUCCAGCUCCAAUAGCGUAUAUUAAAAUUGUUGCAGUUAAAAAGCUCGUAGUUGAAGUUCUGCUGAAAGUAACCGGUCUGCUUUUAAUAAAAGUGGUAUCUUGGUAUGUAUUUAGCAAUGAUGUCCUUUGAAGUGUUUUUUACUUUAUUGUAAUAAAGCAUAUUCAGGACUUUUACUUUGAGAAAAUUAGAGUGUUUCUAGCAGGCUAACGCUUUGAAUACUGCAGCAUGGAAUAAUAAGAUAGGAUUUUAGUUCUACAUUAUUGGUUUUAAGAGCUAAAUUAAUGAUGAUA
rnacentral:rRNA from 1 species